GACUGGAAUUCCUGGUGUAGCGGUGAAAUGCGCAGAUAUCAGGAGGAACACCGAUGGCGAAGGCAGGUCUCUGGGCUGUAACUGACGCUGAGGAGCGAAAGCAUGGGGAGCGAACAGGAUUAGAUACCCUGGUAGUCCAUGCCGUAAACGUUGGGCACUAGGUGUGGGGGACAUUCCACGUUUUCCGCGCCGUAGCUAACGCAUUAAGUGCCCCGCCUGGGGAGUACGGCCGCAAGGCUAAAACUCAAAGGAAUUGACGGGGGCCCGCACAAGCGGCGGAGCAUGCGGAUUAAUUCGAUGCAACGCGAAGAACCUUACCAAGGCUUGACAUGGGCCGGACCGGGCUGGAAACAGUCCUUCCCUUCGGGGCCGGUUCACAGGUGGUGCAUGGUUGUCGUCAGCUCGUGUCGUGAGAUGUUGGGUUAAGUCCCGCAACGAGCGCAACCCUCGUUCCAUGUUGCCAGCGCGUAAUGGCGGGGACUCAUGGGAGACUGCCGGGGUCAACUCGGAGGAAGGUGGGGACGACGUCAAAUCAUCAUGCCCCUUAUGUCUUGGGCUUCACGCAUGCUACAAUGGCCGGUACAAUGGGUUGCGAUACUGUGAGGUGGAGCUAAUCCCAAAAAGCCGGUCUCAGUUCGGAUUGGGGUCUGCAACUCGACCCCAUGAAGUCGGAGUCGCUAGUAAUCGCAGAUCAGCAACGCUGCGGUGAAUACGUUCCCGGGCCUUGUACACACCGCCCGUCAAGUCACGAAAGUUGGUAACACCCGAAGCCGGUGNCCUAACCCCUUNNNGGAGGGAGC
rnacentral:rRNA from 1 species